ensembl:lncRNA
CCGUUAUCUACCAGGAGUAAACAUCGGCUUUACAGAAAGAAAUAAAUUCGACCAUGUCUACCUCCUGGAGAACUCUUUGAGAACAUCAUCUGUCUUCUUACCUCCUUUACUGGGGUGGCGUGCUGUAAAGAUCUGAGGAAGAGGGUCAGCGGCGGCGAGGCGAAGUUGCCUGGGUCUUUGCAGAGGGACCCGGCGGCGAGGCGCGCCAGUCCUUCCCACCAGCGGCCGCCUGGGCGCGGUGCUUAGCGACCCCUCGUCCCUCAUCACCUCCCCCUCCACCACCACCCCCAAAACGCUCUUUUGUGCGGGGGGUCUCGGUCUCCACCUGGUCCCCUUCUCAGAACCCUGCGGCCGGAGAACUUCCUCCGCCAGGCACCGCCCCCACCUCCGUCCGCGGGCCUGCAGCCCGCUCCCCGCUUUGGACUCACCCGGCGCGGUCCUUCCAUCCACUCCACACACAGACAGGAAACCGGCCUCAGCCGGGGCAACAUCUGAAACCACACUUUGUCGAUAGCAUCAAAGACCAAAGCGCACACUUGGGACUCUGAGCUCCCGAGCCCGCUUCUAGCAGAAAACCGGGUCCCCAGGGGAGGGCGACCGGGGGCCAGAUCCUCUCUCCGACCGCGCCGCCGGCUUUCUUAUGGAAAUGAACCCGCCGGGCCGCGCGCCCCGGCUGGGCUCGCGCCCCUGGCCCCCCGGUCCGCGUCGCGGCCGUGGGGACCUGGGCGCGGGGCUCCCCUCCGCCCGGACGGCCCUCGCGCUGCAUUAAAUAUUCAUGGAGAUCGCUAUUUUCUUAAAGGAGAACCCGCCGCGCGGGAAAGUUCACAGCCAAGGGCAGGCACAAAGGAGGUCUCGGUGCUGCGCGUUCCGACUCCGAGAAAUGCACCCCUCUCCACGGCGGGGCUCGCUCAGGAGACACGAGGAGGGGCCUAGGGGACAGGAGAGCGCGAGCGAGUCACUUUUCUUGGAGGGGGUGGUAGGAGAGCUGAACUUGGCGGAAAGAAAGCUUGCUCCGUAAUCCCCCCUACAGUUACUUAGACAUUGACCGAAACAUCUCACGCGCCAGUCCCCGGGGCUUGCUUUCUUUCUCUUUUCUUUUUUUUUUUUUUUAAGGAGGCUGUUGGAGCUUCCUCCCCGGGAUCCACCGGCACCGGGGGCAGUAAGAAAGUUUGCCCGGCGCUGUUGGAGAUGCGCACGCACGAAGUU